CAGCCGCCGCGGUAAUACAGAGACUGCAAGCGUUUCUCGGAUUCACUGGGCGUAAAGGGAGCGCAGGCGGAUUGGUGUGUCAAGCGUGAAAUCCCGGGGCUCAACCCCGGGGCUGCGCCCGAAACUACCAAUCUAGAGACUUGGAAGGGUAAGCGGAAUUCUUGGUGGAGCAGUGAAAUGCGUAGAUAUCAAGAGGAACACCAACGGCGAAGGCAGCUUACUGGACAAGAUCUGACGCUCAGGCUCGAAAGCGUGGGGAGCAAAAGGGAUUAGAUACCCCUGUAGUCCACGCUGUAAACGGUGCGCAUUAGGUCUCGGAGCUUUCGAACGCUUCGGGGCUCAAGCUAACGCAUUAAAUGCGCCGCCUGAGGACUACGGCCGCAAGGCUAAAACUCAAAUGAAUUGACGG
rnacentral:rRNA from 1 species